AAAAUGCACAUAAAUGAAUCAGAAAUUCAUAUUAAAUUCCAAGUGUCAUGAAAUAAUUGGGCAAUGGUACCAAAAAAUAGAGGACUCAUUAGGGAUCACUCACAAAAAAGUUCAGAUUUUUUUAAGUAUUUUUGCUAUUUUUAAAAAAUAAAAUAAAACGGGGAAAAAUAUGUACAUGGCAUGUGACACAUGUGCAACAAUGUCAAUUGGUCACACAAGUCACUUAAGUGACUAAUAAAA
rnacentral:lncRNA from 1 species